rnacentral:rRNA from 1 species
CACAAGCGGUGGAUGAUGUGGAUUAAUUCGAUGCAACGACGAAAAACCUUACCUACCCUUGACAUGUCAGGAAGUCCGCUGAGAGGUGGAUGUGCUCGAAAGAGAACCUGAACACAGGUGCUGCAUGGCUGUCGUCAGCUCGUGUCGUGAGAUGUUGGGUUAAGUCCCGCAACGAGCGCAACCCUUGUCAUUAAUUGCCAUCAUUCAGUUGGGCACUUUAAUGAGACUGCCGGUGACAAACCGGAGGAAGGUGGGGAUGACGUCAAGUCCUCAUGGCCCUUAUGGGUAGGGCUUCACACGUCAUACAAUGGUCGGUACAGAGGGUUGCCAACCCGCGAGGGGGAGCCAAUCCCACAAAGCCGAUCGUAGUCCGGAUCGCAGUCUGCAACUCGACUGCGUGAAGUCGGAAUCGCUAGUAAUCGUGGAUCAGCAUGUCACGGUGAAUACGUUCCCGGGUCUU